UAAAAAAGAAAAAUAUUUAUUGAAACAAAUAUACUGAACAUUGUAUUUUUACAAUAUACAUUGAUUAUCUGUAGCAAAUUAGGUGAUAAAAUAUGGCUUGGAAUAUUAAGUUUGUUUAUUUACUGAUCCAUUUUAUUUCCCUAUUUCUUGUUCUAUCUCACGUUAGAGGUAAACUAUUUUGGUAUCCUUUUGAACCUUUUGUUUAUCUUAUACAAAAUCUUUCACAAUGUUUAUAGUAUUUGUUUUCUUUUUUAUAUCACAGCAUGGCAACCGUGGCCACCAGAUUGCAACAAGGAUUCGGAUUGUCCAACCAUUUUCUGUCUAUCUCCUUGGGUUGCAAAAUGCGUUUAUUAUAAAUGUAAUUGUUUUUCAUAAGAUAUCAGCUUAAUUGAAAGAAGAAGAAAAAAUAAUUUAUGGGGGGAAUUGUAAAAGUUGUAUUAGAGUUACACUUAUUAAUAAAAAUUUCAAUAUUUUUAAUAUAUUUUUUCAUAAAUAAGAGUCUAUGGUUGACGAUUUUAGAAAGAGACGGGAAGUUAAAAAGAUCAAGGCUAGCGGGUCAAACACUACUAUGUACUACCUCAGUUUUUUAUUAUAAGUCGCUUUGGGAGAAUAUUUUGUACCACAAUAUAUGUCGUUUUAUAAUAUCAAUGAAUCAUUAAUGUUAUUUUUCCUAUUAUACCCUUAAAUAUUUAUUAUUUU
rnacentral:lncRNA from 1 species